AAUUCGAAGCAACGCGCAGAACCUUACCAGCCUUUAGACAUCCUAGGACGACUUCUGGAGACAGAUUUCUUCCCUUCGGGGACCUAGUGACAGGUGCUGCAUGGCUGUCGUCAGCUCGUGUCGUGAGAUGUUGGGUUAAGUCCCGCAACGAGCGCAACCCUUAUCCCUAGUUGCCAUCAGGUAAAGCUGGGAACUCUGGGGAGACUGCCGGUGAUAAACCGGAGGAAGGCGGGGAUGACGUCAAGUCCUCAUGGCCCUUACAUCCCGGGCUACACACGUGCUACAAUGGCAGGUACAGAGGGCUGCGAAGCCGCGAGGUGGAGCGAAUCCCAGAAAACCUGUCUCAGUCCGGAUUGAAGUCUGCAACUCGACUCCAUGAAGGCGGAAUCGCUAGUAACCGCGAAUCAGCAGGUCGCGGUGAAUACGUUCCCGGGCCUU
rnacentral:rRNA from 1 species